rnacentral:pre_miRNA from 1 species
UAUUAAAAAUUUCAUUUAUUCGUAGUAUUAAAAACUGACGUGCCUAACAAAAAAACCAAAUAAUGAGAAAUGAUGUGCCACGUGUGUGUCAUAUUGAUGUACAAAGACAGAUUUUUAACCAUAGAAAUGGAUGAAAUUUUUAAUA